rnacentral:rRNA from 1 species
UGUUGCUUGCAAGGGCGUAUGGUGGAUGCCUUGGCAGACAGGACCGAUGAAGGACGUUUGAGGCUGCGAUAUGCCUCGGGGAGCCGCCAACAGGGCUUUGAUCCGAGGAUUUCCGAAUGGGGGAACCCACCGACCGUCAUGGGUCGGUACCGGCUUCGGCCGGGGGGUACGCAGGGAAGUGAAACAUCUCAGUACCUGCAGGAAAGGAUAUUCCGUGAGUAGUGGCGAGCGAAAGCGGAUGAUGGCCAAACCUUGCGCGUGUGAUACCCGUCGGGGGUUGCGCGCGGGGUGUUGCGGGAUCGCGUGCGCCGGCUCCGACGGGCCGGCCGGCAGUUGCAGAAAACCAUGUGUCAGGGGAACCGGGUUGAAUACCGGGCCGCAGAGGGUGAGGGCCCCGUACCUGAACGCGCAUGGUCUGCCGAUCGCGUCUCCCAAGUAGCACGGGUCCCGUGGAACCCCGUGCGAAUCCGCCCAGACCGUUGGGUAAGCCUGAAUAUUCCUGUCUGACCGAUAGCGAACGAGUACCGUGAGGGAAAGGUGAAAAGUACCCCGGGAGGGGAGUGAAACAGUCUCUGAAACCGUGCGCCUACAAUCCGUCGGAGCCCUUUUGUGGGGUGACGGCGUGCCUAUCGAAAAAUGAGUCUGCGAGUCAGUGGCAUGUGGCGAGCAUAACCCGUGUGGGGUAUGCGUAGCGAAGGCGAGUCUUAAAAGGCGUUUGAGUCGCGUGUCCUGGACCCGAAGCGGGAUGAUCUAGCCCUGAGCAGGUUGAAGCGCGGGUAAGACCGCGUGGAGGACCGAACCCACCUGGGUUGAAAACCGGGGGGAUGACCUGGGGCUAGGGGUGAAAGGCCAAUCAAAUUCCGUGAUAGCUGGUUCUCUCCGAAAUGCAUUUAGGUGCAGCGUCGGUCGAUUGCGUCGCGGGGGUAGAGCUACCGGAUGCUUGCGGGCCCUUGUUGGGUACCAACAGCAGCCGAACUCCGAAUACCGUUGACGUGUAUUCCGGCAGUGAGUCGGCGGGGGAUAAGCUCCGUCGUCGAGAGGGAGACAGCCCAGACCGUCGUCUAAGGUCCCGAAGCGUGUGCUAAGUGGGAAAGGAUGUGGAGUCGCAUAGACAGCCAGGAGGUUGGCUCAGAAGCAGCCAUCCUUGAAAGAGUGCGUAACAGCUCACUGGUCUAGUGGUUCCGCGCCGACAAUGUAGCGGGGCUCAAGCACACCACCGAAGACGCGGCAGUAUUUUGUACUGGGUAGGAGAGCGUCCCAUGAGGGGCGAAGCGGCCGUGUGAACGCGCCGUGGACUUCAUGGGAGUGAGAAUGCAGACAUGAGUAGCGAGAGACGGGUGAAGAUCCCGUCCGCUGGAUGACCAAGGGUUCCAGGGCCACGUUCAUCGUCCCUGGGUGAGUCGGGUCCUAAGGCGAGGCCGACAGGCGUAGUCGAAUGGAUGAACGGGUGGAUAUUCCCGUACCGACCAUGGACCGGCAAAACCGAGACGGUGAGUACUAACCUCCGCCUCGUGGUGGUUCCUUCCUUCGGGUUGGUGUCGCCGCGUGGUGUUGGGAGCGUAGCCGCAGUAGGUCAGCGCAGGGGUGACACGGAAUGGGAGCCGGCCGCGGAGGUGGUUUUCCGUGGUCAAGCACGCAGCCAGUCAUGUAGGCAAAUCCGCAUGGCGUGCAUGGCGAGGUGUGAUGAUGGGAGCCGUUAUGGUUCGAUAUCCGGUUGUCCAGGCCGUCGAGAAAAGCCUCGGCGUGAGGGCCAUGGCCGCCCGUACCCCAAACCGACACUGGUGGUCAGGUAGAGAAUACCAAAGCGAUCGAGCGAAUCCUGGUCAAGGAACUCGGCAAAUCACUCCCGUUCCUUCGGUUUAAGGGAGACCCCCGAUGGUGAACACACUUGCUGUGGGAGCUUUUGGGGGUGGCACAGACCAGGGGGUAGCGACUGUUUACCAAAAACACAGGUGCAUGCGAAGGCGCAAGCCGCUGUAUAUGCACUGACGCCUGCCCGGUGCCGGAAGGUUAAGAGGAUCCGUCAGCCUUCGGGUGAAGCGGUGAAUUCAAGCCCCGGUAAACGGCGGUGGUAACUAUAACCAUCCUAAGGUAGCGAAAUUCCUUGUCGGGUAAGUUCCGACCUGCACGAAUGGCGUAAUGAUGGCCAGGCUGUCUCCACCCGAGACUCAGUGAAAUUGAACUCGCUGUGAAGAUGCAGUGUACCCGCGGCAAGACGGAAAGACCCCGUGAACCUUUACUAUAGCUUGACACUGAACAUUGAGCCUUGAUGUGUAGGAUAGGUGGGAGGCUUUGAAGUGUGGACGCCAGUCUGCAUGGAGCCGACCUUGAAAUACCACCCUUUAAUGUUUGAUGUUCUAACGUUGACCCGUAAUCCGGGUUGCGGACAGUGUCUGGUGGGUAGUUUGACUGGGGCGGUCUCCUCCUAAAGAGUAACGGAGGAGCACGAAGGUUGGCUAAUCCUGGUCGGACAUCAGGAGGUUAGUGCAAUGGCAUAAGCCAGCUUGACUGCGAGCGUGACGGCGCGAGCAGGUGCGAAAGCAGGUCAUAGUGAUCCGGUGGUUCUGAAUGGAAGGGCCAUCGCUCAACGGAUAAAAGGUACUCCGGGGAUAACAGGCUGAUACCGCCCAAGAGUUCAUAUCGACGGCGGUGUUUGGCACCUCGAUGUCGGCUCAUCACAUCCUGGGGCUGAAGUAGGUCCCAAGGGUAUGGCUGUUCGCCAUUUAAAGUGGUACGCGAGCUGGGUUUAGAACGUCGUGAGACAGUUCGGUCCCUAUCUGCCGUGGGCGCUGGAGAACUGAGGGGGGCUGCUCCUAGUACGAGAGGACCGGAGUGGACGCAUCACUGGUGUUCGGGUUGUCAUGCCAAUGGCACUGCCCGGUAGCUAAAUGCGGAAGAGAUAAGUGCUGAAAGCAUCUAAGCACGAAACUUGCCCCGAGAUGAGUUCUCCCUGACUCCUUGAGAGUCCUGAAGGAACGUUGAAGACGACGACGUUGAUAGGCCGGGUGUGUAAGCGCAGCGAUGCGUUGAGCUAACCGGUACUAAUGAACCGUGAGGCUUAACCUU